AAAAAAAAAAAAAAAAAAAAAAAAAAAGCCACAUCUGAUAGCAGUUUAACUUCUAAAAAGUUUACUCUGCUAUUGAAAAACAUUCAACCCAUUAGGCAUAGAAGUCCAAUCGUAAUAUGCCCCAGUGACUCAUGUCCAUACACUUAUAAGCCAUAAGCUUAUAAUGGCAAGUUGGUUAGAUGUGAAAACAGCAAAGAAACAAACUUCCCGCUUUGACUUCCACGAAUGAGAGGAGGACAUUUCUGACAUGUCUGAUGUUUCAUCAAUUGACUCUGCGUUAGAUACAAACCAAGGGGUUUAAACUCCACUAUAAUUCCACCUACCCUGUCUUCAAGAGGUACAUCAGGACCACUAGACGAGCAGAUUUCCCAAUUAAUAUGCUAUCCUUAGGAGGGACAAAUGCCUACCUCUACUAUCUUUGCUCGUUGCGACAAUGAGGCUUCGUACCAUGCAUUAACAAAGGCACUUCCACACUUAGUUGCCCAUGCUCUUAUUAAGACGCCCCGCAUGGUUAUCAGCUAAAAUAAUUCAUUGUGUUUGCCAUACAUGUACCAUGUUGUAAUGUCAUUUCUGAUUCUCUCUUGUUUUUCUCAUUUCAGAGAUCAUGUCAGCUGGUUGCAGAAGCUGACCCUCAUCCAACCUAUUACACUCCACAUCCAUUUCUAAAUACAUUUACACUCUUUGCAAAUGACACUUUUCCACUCACAUAGCCCACACCCUCGAUGCCAUAUUCACACUAGCCUUUUUAAUUUAAGUCUUCUGAACUAAGUAUGACAUUUCAAUUCAACGAUACACCUAACCAUAUCUGAUCUAUCUUCGCAGGAUGAAGGGACGCAGGAUGAUAUCCGUUCCCCCACACACCUGUUCUAAACAGGCCCGGAUUGACUAAUCGGGAGGACCGGGAGAAUUCCCGGUGGGCCGUCAGUCGUGAACUGAGGUGGGCUGGUCUGAGGCUUGAAACUCCAGAGCUGAAAAGGUGUCCCACUCCGGCCCUGGUUCUAAACCUCUUAGCAUUUUUACACCACAGAAGAGCAAUAACACCUCGGGGAAGCCCAGCCGAUCAUCUCCAGCCAACUUCCACCAUCAUGCAUUAUUGGGUAUGAAGUAUGACUCUGUCAUUUCCUUCCUAUUUCCCUUCCUAUUUAACAUAGGAGCUCCUUCACUACCCUUCCCUGUUUUUUUAGCUUUAACUUUUCCUCUCCAAAUUUAAACUAUCCUAUACUUCUAUUCACUUUCAUUCACCACAGCUCCGACCAAUUCAGGGGUUGUCUUGAGUUUCAGUUGCUGCAACAGGAACGUUCUAAAUGAGCUUGCAUACACUUACAAAUUUUCUAAAUACCACUAUCGUUGCACUCCCCGCACUAAUACAGCAGUAAAUGCUUCUGCGGGAGCACAAGUUGCCUCCAUACUGGCCCACUACACCACUGCAGCCGCAGAAAUGCUCCGCAGAGUUGCACACCCAAAGCACCACUGCUACCGCAGUGAACCUCUAGCAUAUGCCUUAUUCACCUUCAUCUUUACAUAUCACUAAAGGCAGUAUUUAACGUCCCUGCGGGAGCACUCAAAACUUACUAAUAUCGACUGUUUAGGUGCUCCACUUAACUAUACACCCCAUUAACAUCACGGCAACUGCAGUGACGCUCUAGCUGAGCCCCUUUAUCACUUUCAUCUCUAAAUAUCACUGCUAAUAGUACUUAGUAUUUCCGUGCGAGGCGCUAAUACCGAGUACCACUGAACCUCUGCUACUGCAGAGACGCUUUGCCGAGCCUUAUUCUCCCUCUGCACCACUGCUGCAACAGUUAAGCUUUGCCUGAGCUGCAACUGCAGAGACGGCUGUUUAGCCUUAAUUCUCUGCACCACUGAUUUUAUUGCACUUCUGUAACUGCAGAGAAGCUCUGCUGAGAUUAUUUUUUCCCCCUGCACCAAUGCUGCAGCAGUGACGCCCUGCCUGAACAGUCUUCCAACAACAGAUAUAAACUCUGUCAUUGGUCCUCUAACACCUCUAAAUCCUCAAUUUGCCUCAGCCAAUAUUUCCUCAGAGAAGCCCAGCUGAUUCUCGGUUGCAGACUUCAACCUAGUUUCCAAGCAGCACGACUCUGUCUGUUCUUCCUACUUUCUGUCUUAGUUGCAUAGGACUCAUUUUUUACUAAACUUUCCUUUUUAUUUUAUUAAACUUCCCUUCUCUUCCUCUUCAUAAUUUUUCAAUUUCACUUGCACUCAUUCUCCGCAGCUCGGACUCCCACAGGGGUAGCCCCAAGCUCCCACUGCCACAGCAGUGAAGCUCUUUAAGAGCUCACAUGUACACUUUUCAAAAAAAAAAAA